rnacentral:misc_RNA from 1 species
GAAAUCACCGGUCUCGCCGGUAUAAAAUUCUAUCCACCUUGUGUGCAAACAAUGGAAAAAGAGAGAAAAUUGGAUACUUUUGUAUCCAACUUCUCUAAAAUUCUUUAUAAACUCCAUCAAAUUUUGAAUAAAAACAAUUUUUUUAAUAAAAAAUAUUAUA